rnacentral:rRNA from 1 species
UACAGAGGGGGCAAGCGUUGUUCGGAAUUACUGGGCGUAAAGGGCGCGUAGGCGGCCUUCUAAGUCGAACGUGAAAUCCCCGGGCUCAACCCGGGAACUGCGUCCGAUACUGGAAGGCUUGAAUCCGGGAGAGGGAGUCGGCGAAUUCCAGGUGUAGCGGUGAAAUGCGUAGAUAUCUGGAGGAACACCGGUGGCGAAGGCGGCAUCCUGGACCGGCAUUGACGCUGGAGGCGCGAAAGCCAGGGGAGCAAAGCGGG